GAAAUGCGAAAGGCAAUGCGAAUUGCAGAAUUCCGCGAAUCAUCAGAUACUUUUUGAUGAGUAUUUUGCAAAUCUAAAUGUGAUUGAUGCUGUUACGACAACAUCUCUCAUGAAAUUAGAAUGUGCGUGUACUUCAACACAACGAAGUAGUCACAUGUGUCUAUGUGAUCUCGUUGAUCGUAGAAAUACAUUAAUUGUGCACAUAGCAUGCAAAAUACUCAUCAAAAAGUAUCUGAAAUCAAACAAGAUCACCCGCUGAACUUAA
rnacentral:misc_RNA from 1 species